UACGUAGGGUGCGAGCGUUGUCCGGAAUUACUGGGCGGAAAGAGCUCGUAGGUGGUUUGUCGCGUUGUUCGUGAAAACUCACAGCUUAACUGUGGGCGUGCGGGCGAUACGGGCAGACUGGAGUACUGCAGGGGAGACUGGAAUUCCUGGUGUAGCGGUGGAAUGCGCAGAUAUCAGGAGGAACACCGGUGGCGAAGGCGGGUCUCUGGGCAGUAACUGACGCUGAGGAGCGAAAGCGUGGGGAGCGAACAGG
rnacentral:rRNA from 1 species